rnacentral:rRNA from 1 species
GGCGCACGGGUGAGUAACGCGUAGAUAACCUACCCCCUGGUUUGGGAUAACAGUGCGAAAGCGCUGCUAAUACCGGAUACGAUCUUAAGGCGGGAGCUUUAAGGUGAAAGUCGGCCUCUCGAAGAAGCUGAUGUUGGGGGAUGGGUCUGCGUCCUAUCAGCUAGUUGGUAGGGUAACGGCCUACCAAGGCGACGACGGGUAGCUGGUCUGAGAGGAUGAUCAGCCACACUGGCACUGGAACACGGGCCAGACUCCUACGGGAGGCAGCAGUGAGGAAUUUUGCGCAAUGGGAGCAAUCCUGACGCAGCAACGCCGCGUGGGUGAAGAAGGCCUUCGGGUCGUAAAGCCCUGUCAGGUGGGAAGAAAGGCUUGGAUUCGAAUAGGGUUUGAGUUUGACGGUACCACCAGAGGAAGCACCGGCUAACUCCGUGCCAGCAGCCGCGGUAAUACGGAGGGUGCGAGCGUUAUUCGGAAUUACUGGGCGUAAAGCGCGUGCAGGCGGCCUGAUAAGUCUGAUGUGAAAGCCCUGGGCUUAACCUGGGAAGUGCAUUG